CUGCUGUUGUUUUCUGUCUGUAAUAUUGUUAUUAUGAACGAGUAAAAUAUUUCUUGGACUGCAGUGUUUUUCAAGCUGGAAAUGAUAUAAGAUCAAAGGGAAAGAACAAUAAACUCUGAAACUGCAGUGUUUGGAGCAACCUGCAGACAUGACUUUCCGCAACAGGUUGUUUUUAGUUUAAAACCUGUAUCGAUUUAAAUUAUGAUUAUAGUAUUAAGUAAAUGCGUGGUUACAUAUGUUUAAGGUUACAAACUAUUUAGUUUAUGUUUCG
rnacentral:lncRNA from 1 species